AACAAACUCUGAAUACACCAUCUUUAAGAACUGUAACACUCACCGUGAGGUUCCGCGGCUUCAUUCUAGAAGUCAGUGAGACUAAGAACCCACCAAUUCCGGACACAGUAUGACAUCAUAGGAGAUCGAGAAUAUGCGCCCAACUUUCAUGCUCGAACUGAAACUUUUUUUUCUAACAAAUAUGCUCUGGCAUCAUCAAGGAGUCUACUGUGUUUACCAAAUUAUGUAAGCUGGGAAAAUCAGUACAAAAGUUUAUUGUGUUUUACCUCAUUGUUUUUAAACGUUUUGAAUUGAUGACUUGCAGUGACAAGACUGAGAGAAGAUUAAAUAUAAAUGAAAGAAUAAUGACAUUAAGUAAGGUAAACCAUGUCACAUGAUGUCUGAAGAAGAAAGAAUUAAAAAGUUGGCUUCUUGAAAAGCAACUGAAAUGUGAUAUGAAUCAAAAAAUUGGGAAUAACACUUGCGAGAUUUUUCUUCUUUGAGUGAAGUCUUCUCACAUUCAGUUUCCACUUUUCUGAACUUCCAGGUUAUCCAGAAUAAAAUAAUUUAAAGUAACUAAUACAAACAAACAACAUGAUUUAUAAAGAAAAGAAGUUUGUUUGGCCCACAGCUCUGGAGACUGGAAGUCCAAGGGCAGAGUGCUGUCAUCUGCUCAGCAUUUGAUAUAAGCUGCCAGAAUAGACAAUCGGUGAACCUAAAGAUCAAUCAAUAAAGAUCGCUCAAUUGAAAGCACAAAAAGUAAAAAGAAAAAUAAAAAGUCCCAAAGUCCAUUAGAACACCAUUAAACAAAAUGACCUGAGUCUAACAUGAGUCCAAGAUGCAGAGGCAAGAGAGAGUGAUGAAGGAAGAAAAUGGAAAAAUAAUGAAUAAAAACUUCCCACAGUUGAUGAAAAAGAUUAACUUGUACAUCUAGGAGUUCUGCCAGCAUGAAAGCUUUGAACUUGAAGUGCAACAUCAGCUGUUUCCCAGGUCUCUAGCCUGAUCCUCUUUGAACUUCAACUAUAAAUUUUGGGGCUUGCCAGACUCCAUAAUUGUAUGAACCAAUUCCUUAAAAUAAAUCUCUUUUGAUAUA